UACGUAGGGUGCAAGCGUUAAUCGGAAUUACUGGGCGUAAAGCGUGCGCAGGCGGCUUUGCAAGACAGAUGUGAAAUCCCCGGGCUUAACCUGGGAACUGCAUUUGUGACUGCAUUGCUGGAGUGCGGCAGAGGGGGAUGGAAUUCCGCGUGUAGCAGUGAAAUGCGUAGAUAUGCGGAGGAACACCGAUGGCGAAGGCAAUCCCCUGGGCCUGCACUGACGCUCAGGCACGAAAGCGUGGGGAGCAAACAGG
rnacentral:rRNA from 1 species